UGCAAGUCGAGUGCGCGUUUCCGUAGCAAUACGGAAAUGGCGCACGGCGCACGGGUGCGUAACACGUGGGUAAUCUGCCCUUCGAUGGGGAAUAACUCGCCGAAAGGCGAGCUAAUCCCGCAUAACAUUCCUUGGACUCCGGUCUGGGGAUUCAAAGGCGUAAGUCGUCGGAGGUGGAGCCCGCGCACGAUUAGCUAGUUGGUGAGGUAAUGGCUCACCAAGGCUAUGAUCGUUAGCUGGUCUGAGAGGAUGGCCAGCCACACUGGAACUGAGACACGGUCCAGACUCCUACGGGAGGCAGCAGUGGGGAAUCUUGCACAAUGGGCGAAAGCCUGAUGCAGCGACGCCGCGUGGGGGAUGAAGCUUCUCGGAGUGUAAACCCCUUUCGACCGGGACGAAUGCCCGCAAGGGACUGACGGUACCGGUAUAAGAAGCCCCGGCUAACUACGUGCCAGCAGCCGCGGUAAGACGUAGGGGGCCAGCGUUGCUCGGAAUUACUGGGUGUAAAGGGUUCGUAGGCGGUGUAGCAAGUCGGGAGUGAAAUCUCUGGGCUCAACCCAGGGGCUGCUUCCGAAACUGCUGUGCUAGAGUGUGGGAGAGGCGCGUGGAAUUGCAGGUGUAGCGGUGAAAUGCGUAGAUAUCUGCAGGAACACCCGUGGCGAAAGCGGCGCGCUGGACCACUACUGACGCUGAGGAACGAAAGCUAGGGGAGCAAACAGGAUUAGAUACCCUGGUAGUCCUAGCCCUAAACGAUCAGGACUUGGGGUGCCACCCGUUCGGGUGUCGUCCCGGAGCUAACGCGUUAAGUCCUGCACCUGGGGAGUACGGUCGCAAGACUGAAACUCAAA
rnacentral:rRNA from 1 species